GUGGGGAAUAUUGCACAAUGGGGGAAACCCUGAUGCAGCGACGCCGCGUGGAGGAAGAAGGCCCUCGGGUUGUAAACUCCUGUCUUUGGGGACGAUAAUGACGGUACCCAAGGAGGAAGCCACGGCUAACUACGUGCCAGCAGCCGCGGUAAAACGUAGGUGGCAAGCGUUGUCCGGAAUUACUGGGUGUAAAGGGAGCGCAGGCGGAGCGGCAAGUUGGAGGUGAAACCCAUGGGCUCAACCCAUGAACUGCCUUCAAAACUGUCGGUCUUGAGUGGUGUAGAGGUAAGCGGAAUUCCCGGUGUAGCGGUGGAAUGCGUAGAUAUCGGGAGGAACACCAGUGGCGAAGGCGGCUUACUGGGCACUAACUGACGCUGAGGCUCGAAAGCAUGGGUAGCAAACAGGAUUAGAUACCCUAGUAGUCC
rnacentral:rRNA from 1 species